rnacentral:lncRNA from 1 species
AUGUCCUCCCUCCUGCUUCCCCCCCCAACACACACACACCACACUCCACCCUCCGGCCCCAUCCCUCCAGGGCCGGGGCCCCAUCCCUCCAGGGCCGGGGCUCCAUCUGGGGAUUUCUUGCUGCGUGUGGAGCGGGUGGGGACCUCCUCCCCCCCCACCCCCCGGGACUCGGGGAAUUCCCAGCUCCCCCCCGCCACCCCCAAUGAUUGUGCCGGGGAUCUCUCCUCGGGUUCUGCAGCCUCCUAUUUCUCUCCCUCCACCCCCACCCCGCCCCUUGCCUCGCUGGGCACCGUCUUCCCGGCCUCUCCUUUGCCCCCUCAGCCCAUCUUCCCCUGGCUUUCUCAUUCUCCAGCUCCGAUCAAGCGGGCCUCCACGCAGGUCAGUGCCCCCCGCCCCGCCAGGCCUCCGCCUCCUGUUUCCCCAUCACGGUCCUCCCCAGGCCACCCAGGCACUCCGCAUUCCCGUGCAUGGCUUCCCCGCAUCCUCAUUCCCUCGCACCCCAUUUUCCCCUUACCUUCCUGCCCUCUCCCCCGGGGCCGGCCUGCCCCUCUGUCCCGCUUUCAUCUUCCACCCCUGCCCCUCGCCCCCCAGCCCAGCCCCCGCUCACCUCCCUUUCCUCCUCUUGCCGGCGCCCUCGGGGGCCGCUCCUGCCGCCGCCACCACCACUGCAGCAGCCUGGAGCUAGUGAGGCAGCGGGUCCCCCCCCUUCCCUCCCCUCCUCUCCCCUCCCCUCGCCCUGCUCACGCCGCCCCCGCCCCUCUCACAGCCCUCCCUCCUGGACCCGGUGAGCCAGGCGCACCGGGGCGCUCUGUUACCGUGGCAACGGGCCCGGACCUCCCCCCCACCUCCAUCGAAGGAUACCAGCCCCAUCAAUAUUCCGCCAGCCGCCGCCCACCGAGCCCAGGGGUCUGGGGGGAAGGACCGGGGAAGGGGGUGGGGGGAACCAAGAGGGGGAGAAAUAACCCCAACCCAGGCAACGAAUUGAGGGGCUGGGAUUGGGAUGGCACCGGCCGUGUUGAAGACGCAGGAACCAGAAGUCCCCCAAGAAGCGAGGAGAUCAGUAAAGGGGAGAAAGAAAUACAGGAAAAGGAGUGA